UUUUCUGCCCCGAAUACAUUAGCAUGGGAUAAUGGAAUAGGACCCUGUCCUCCUAUUUUCAGUUGGUUUUGGCAGCGCGAGGACUAGGGUAAUGAUUAAUAGGGAUAGUUGGGGGCAUUAAUAUUUAAUUGUCAGAGGUGAAAUUCUUGGAUUUAUGAAAGAUUAACUUCUGCGAAAGCAUCUGCCAAGGAUGUUUUCAUUAAUCAAGAACGAAAGUUAGGGGAUCGAAGACGAUCAGAUACCGUCGUAGUCUUAACCAUAAACGAUGCCGACCAGCGAUUAGGAGACGUUGAAUACAAAACACCACCAUCGGCGCGGUCGUCCUUGGCGUCGGUCCUUC
rnacentral:rRNA from 1 species